UGCCCCAUGGCCCAGCCGGUUAAGGCGUCUGACUGUUAAUCCAGUGCAAUCAGAAGAUCGAGAGUUCAAGUCUCUCUGGGGCAG
rnacentral:tRNA from 1 species